AUGUCACUUUUGCAACAUGUGCUGUUCGGAAGGCUAUUCAAAACACCACGUAAUACCUCUAAAUUAACUGGUGCGCAAAAGACUAGAGAGUGGUUGGAAGGACAUCCAGUUAGAUUUUAUGAACAACUUCGUGUUGAUAAGCACACCUUCUACUUAUUGCGAGAUGCAUUGUGCGAGAGGAAUUUACUUACGGAUACAAAACGGAUGGACGUCAAUGAACAACUAGUCAUAUUUCUACAUACAAUUGGUCACAAUGUUAGGAACCGUGUUAUCCAGGAUAGAUUUCAACAUUCAGGAGAAACAAUAAGUCGGCAUUUCAAGAGAGUAUUAAAAGCCAUUAAUGGCUUACGUGAUGUUUACAUAAUAGAUCCGCCCAAUGAAGUUCCCAACGAAAUAUUGGGCGACUCAAGGUUUUACCCAUACUUCAAGAACUGUAUGGGAGCAAUUGAUGGGACACAUAUUAAUGCAAAAAUCAAGCUUGAUAAACAAACUCCUUACAGAAAUAGGCAUGGUUAUCCCUCUCAAAAUGUAAUGGCAGUAGUGUCAUUUGACAUGACAUUUUCAUAUGUGGCUGCUGGAUGGGAAGGUUCCGCAUCGGAUCAAGCCGUAUUAAGGUGGGCUGUUACUGAUGGUGGGUUUGUUGUCCUAGAAGAUAAAAAUAAAAAAUACAUGAAUUUACAUGCAAGUAAGUUUUAUCUCGUGGACUCGGGCUAUGCAAAUACUCCAAGAUUUAUUGCCCCCUAUCAUGGAGAUCGCUAUCACAUUGGUUCUUUUCGUGGAACUAAACGUCGAUAUAGUAUUGAGAAAGAUUUGUUCAAUCAUCGUCACGCACAACUACGGAAUGUUGUAGAACAUACUUUUGGCGUUCUAAAAGCUCGAUUUCCAAUAUUAACAAGGAAUGGAGGAAUCCCUUAUCCUUACAAAAAACAGGUCCAAAUUGUUAUGGCUUGUUGCAUCAUCCAUAACUUCAUAAGGAAGGUUGAUAGGAAUGAUGAGUUGUUUGAGCUUUAUGAACAAGAGGGAACACAAGGAGAUGUUGACACCGGUGACCAAGAAGUUCGAGGGCAAGCAAACUUACAAGAAGAUGAUCGAGUUGCCGGUGAAAGAGUACGUGCAAGCAUCGCUCGACAGUUGUGGAGUAAUCUCCAACAACAUGCCACUCAGGAAGAAGAAGAUGAAGAUGAUUAA
rnacentral:rRNA from 1 species